UACGAGGGGGGCAAGCGUUGUUCGGAAUUAUUGGGCGUAAAGGGCGCGUAGGCGGUGCGGUAAGUCACCUGUGAAACCUCUAGGCUCAACCUAGAGCCUGCAGGCGAAACUGCCGUGCUUGAGGGUGGGAGAGGUGCGUGGAAUUCCCGGUGUAGCGGUGAAAUGCGUAGAUAUCAGGAGGAACACCAAUAGCGAAGGCAGCUCGCUGGGACGUUACUGACACUGAGGCGCGAAAGCGUGGGGAGCGAACAGG
rnacentral:rRNA from 1 species